AUAAACAUUAUCUAUAUUGGCUCGCGAGGAACGAUACUCGACGAAUCUGGUUCGUUACGUUGCUGUCUGUCUGUCUGGCAGGAUCGAACGUGAUCGUACCUGAAAGAGUCGUCGAGCCCUGGAAAACCGUACAAUUCGAACAGAGCAUCGAGGGAUCUUUACUUCUGUAGCUCAGAGUAAGGGUCCAAGGACGGGACUCGCAACACUAUGGCCAUUCAGCAGAUACAUUCCUUUUCCAGAACUCUCACUUCUAGCUAAAGGCAGGCCUGGCCAGAUAAGCCACCGAGUGAGAGGGAGAGGAAGAGGAAGAGAAAGAGAUAAACCCCUUACGCUUAAUGUAGGCCGGUGACGUCAGUUUCACGUUCCUUUCACGGAUGUUGCGCCACAUUCGCUAACACCGCCUGCGGUGAUGGUAAAAGGUGGGUUGCCCGUCUGAGUGGCUUUGUGAAACAGCCAACAUCCAGCAUCCAGCCCAAUCCAGCAGACUACAUAGAUUGGGAUUCCAAACCAGGUGCGAGCCGGGCAUCAUUUUCAUUUGUUCAUCGAUGUUCGCUAAAUGAAUUGCGCAUUGAGCUGUUUCUCGAGCAUUAAUUCAGUCUGUGGAUCCUCCGAAACCCCUUCCAAUGGCACCUGGAAUCUCUGAAAACGGAAAAUAUGGUAUUACAUCGUGCCGGUCGUAUUCUCUGAUGCUCGUUUCGGCCUUCGGUUCAGACGAUUUUUUGUUCCACCACGCAUUUCGUUACCGCAUCGUUAUCAAUUCAAAUUGCAACGCAAACGCAACCGGCCGACCGACGAACAGUGGAUCCGCGCUCUGUUUGCUCUAUUUGGCUGGAAGGGGAAAGGAACAAAUUGAGUUUAACCAUGCCGAGCGCGCUCUCCCUCCAUUAUGACGGCGGAAAUCGUUUGAAAUAUUUUUUACUUUGAUCAGAUGGCUUAUUAUGAGAAUCGACAGCAUACAUUUCGGCAUCGUUGAGACGAUGGUGCUACAUUAAAAUGUUACAGACAAUUCAACUUAAUGUGUUUUAGUAGAAGUUCAGAAAAACUAAAAAUGUACGGUAACCAACAGAAAGUUGACCAUAAUUUGACGGUUAACGGAACUUCUGUAUAAACUUAAUCUAAUUCUAAUCAUUCAGGAAAUCAUUCCCUGUGAGAUGCCUUUCACUGCAGUGCAGGAUGAUUGGGCAUUUUCGUUCCCCUCUUUCCCGGUGUCUUCAAUUGAUUCAUAAAUAAACC